UGGGGAAUUUUGGACAAUGGGGGAAACCCUGAUCCAGCCAUCCCGCGUGUGCGAUGAAGGCCUUCGGGUUGUAAAGCACUUUUGGCAGGAAAGAAACGUCAUGGGUUAAUACCCCGUGAAACUGACGGUACCUGCAGAAUAAGCACCGGCUAACUACGUGCCAGCAGCCGCGGUAAUACGUAGGGUGCAAGCGUUAAUCGGAAUUACUGGGCGUAAAGCGUGCGCAGGCGGUUCGGAAAGAAAGAUGUGAAAUCCCAGAGCUCAACUUUGGAACUGCAUUUUUAACUACCGGGCUAGAGUGUGUCAGAGGGAGGUGGAAUUCCGCGUGUAGCAGUGAAAUGCGUAGAUAUGCGGAGGAACACCGAUGGCGAAGGCAGCCUCCUGGGAUAACACUGACGCUCAUACACGAAAGCGUGGGGAGCAAACAGG
rnacentral:rRNA from 1 species